rnacentral:rRNA from 1 species
UACGUAGGUGGCAAGCGUUGUCCGGAAUUAUUGGGCGUAAAGAGUUCGUAGGCGGUUUGUUAAGUCUGGUGUUAAAGACGGGAGCUCAACUCCCGCAUGGCAUCGGAUACUGGCAGGCUAGAGUGUGGUAGAGGUCUCGGGAAUUCCAGGUGUAGCGGUGAAAUGCGUAGAUAUCUGGAGGAACACCGGUGGCGAAAGCGCGAGACUGGGCCAUAACUGACGCUGAGGAACGAAAGCCAGGGGAGCAAAAGGGAGUUAGAAACCCUGGA